rnacentral:rRNA from 1 species
GUUAAUCGGAAUUACUGGGCGUAAAGCGCGCGCAGGCGGUUUGUUAAGUCAGAUGUGAAAUCCCCGCGCUUAACGUGGGAACUGCAUUUGAAACUGGCAAGCUAGAGUCUUGUAGAGGGGGGUAGAAUUCCAGGUGUAGCGGUGAAAUGCGUAGAGAUCUGGAGGAAUACCGGUGGCGAAGGCGGCCCCCUGGACAAAGACUGACGCUCAGGUGCGAAAGCGUGGGGAGCAAACAGGAUUAGAUACCCUGGUAGUCCACGCUGUAAACGAUGUCGACUUGGAGGUUGUGCCCUUGAGGCGUGGCUUCCGGAGCUAACGCGUUAAGUCGACCGCCUGGGGAGUACGGCCGCAAGGUUAAAACUCAAAUGAAUUGACGGGGGCCCGCACAAGCGGUGGAGCAUGUGGUUUAAUUCGACGCAACGCGAAGAACCUUACCUACUCUUGACAUCCAGAGAAUUCGCUAGAGAUAGCUUAGUGCCUUCGGGAACUCUGAGACAGGUGCUGCAUGGCUGUCGUCAGCUCGUGUUGUGAAAUGUUGGGUUAAGUCCCGCAACGAGCGCAACCCUUAUCCUUUGUUGCCAGCACGUAAUGGUGGGAACUCAAAGGAGACUGCCGGUGAUAAACCGGAGGAAGGUGGGGAUGACGUCAAGUCAUCAUGGCCCUUACGAGUAGGGCUACACACGUGCUACAAUGGCGUAUACAAAGAGAAGCGAACUCGCGAGAGCAAGCGGACCUCAUAAAGUAUGUCGUAGUCCGGAUUGGAGUCUGCAACUCGACUCCAUGAAGUCGGAAUCGCUAGUAAUCGUAGAUCAGAAUGCUACGGUGAAUACGUUCCCGGGCCUUGUACACACCGCCCGUCACACCAUGGGAGUGGGUUGCAAAAGAAGUAGGUAGCUUAACCUUCGGGAGGGCGCUUACCACUUUGUGAUUCAUGACUGGGGUGAAGUCGUAAC